rnacentral:rRNA from 1 species
CCUACGGGAGGCAGCAGUGGGGAAUAUUGCACAAUGGGCGAAAGCCUGAUGCAGCAACGCCGCGUGAAGGAAGAAGGGUUUCGGCUCGUAAACUUCUAUCAACAGGGACGAAAGAAAUGACGGUACCUGAAUAAGAAGCCCCGGCUAACUACGUGCCAGCAGCCGCGGUAAUACGUAGGGGGCAAGCGUUAUCCGGAAUUACUGGGUGUAAAGGGUGAGUAGGCGGCAUGGUAAGCCAGAUGUGAAAGCCUUGGGCUUAACCCGAGGAUUGCAUUUGGAACUAUAAUACUAGAGUAUCAGAGAGGAUUGCAGAAUUCCUGGUGUAGCGGUGAAAUGCGUAGAUAUCAGGAGGAAUACCGUUAGCGAAGGCGGCAAUCUGGCUGGAAACUGACGCUGAGGUGCGAAAGCGUGGGUAGCAAACAGGAUUAGAUACCCUUGUAGUC